GCCGGGUUUGGUGGCACAGGCCUGUAAUCCUAGCACCUAGGGAGGCUGAGGCAGGAGGACCUCCAGUUCAAAGCAACUUAGCAAGACCCUGUCUCAA
rnacentral:sRNA from 1 species